CCUACUGGUGGCAGCAGUGGGGAAUAUUGCACAAUGGGCGAAACCCUGAUGCAGCGACGCCGCGUGAGUGCAGACGUAUUUCUGUAUGUAAAACUCUAUCAUCCGGUAAGAAAAUCACGGUACCUGAUUCAGAAGCCCCUGCUAACUACGUACCAGCAGCCGCGGUAAUACGGAGGGGGCACGCGUUCUACGGCUUUACUGGGGGUAAAGGUAGCGUAGACGGCAGCUGAAGUCUGGAGGGAAAUGCCGGGGGUUAACCCCGGAACUGCUUUGGAAACUGGGCAGCUAGAGUGCAGGAGAGGUAAGUGGAAUUCCUAGGGGAGCGGUGAAAUGCGUAGAUAUUAGGAGGAACACCAGUGGCGAAGGCGGCUUACUGGACUGUAACUGACGUUGAGGCUCGAAAGCGUGGGGAGCAAACAGGAUUAGAUACCCCAGUAGUC
rnacentral:rRNA from 1 species